rnacentral:tRNA from 1 species
UCGGGAUAGCUCAGUCGGAAGAGCAGAGGACUGAA